rnacentral:rRNA from 1 species
UGUCUUUACUUUGCGAUAACGCAAUUAUAUACAACUUUCAGCAACGGAUCUCUUGGCUCUCGCAUCGAUGAAGAACGCAGCGAAAUGCGAUAAGUAAUGUGAAUUGCAGAAUUCAGUGAAUCAUCGAAUCUUUGAACGCACCUUGCGCUCCUUGGUAUUCCGAGGAGCAUGCCUGUUUGAGUCUCGUGGAAUUCUCAACCUUCAACUUUGUUGUCGAAGGCUUGGACUUGGAGGUUGUGCCGGCUCUAGUAGUCGGCUCCUCUGAAAUGCAUCAGUGCGAACGUUACCAGCCGCUUCAGCGUGAUAAUUAUCUGCGUUGCUGUGGAGGGUAUGUCAGUGUUCGUGCUUCGAACCGUCUUCGGACAACAUUUCAUCUCUGAGCUCAAAUCAGGUAGGACUACCCGCUGAACUUAAGCAUAUCAAUAAGCGGAGGA